UGCAUAGCUCAGUUGCUUAGAGCAUGGUGCUGAUAAUGCCAAGGUCACAGGUUUGAUCCCCUCAUGGGACAA